UGUAUAUGUGUGUGUGUGUGUGUGUGUGUGUAUAUAUAUAUAUAUACAUACACACACACACACACACACACACAUACACU
rnacentral:miRNA from 1 species